UUCCUACGGGAGGCAGCAGUAGGGAAUCUUCCACAAUGGACGAAAGUCUGAUGGAGCAACGCCGCGUGAGUGAAGAAGGGUUUCGGCUCGUAAAGCUCUGUUAGGAUUGAAGAAAGAUAGAGGUAGUAACUGGCCUUUAUUUGACGGUAAUUACUUAGAAAGUCACGGCUAAAUACGUGCCAGCAGCCGCGGUAAUACGUAGGUGGCAAGCGUUGUCCGGAUUUAUUGGGCGUAAAGCGAGGGCAGGCGGG
rnacentral:rRNA from 1 species